GACGAACCGAGCGAACGUUGUUCGGAAUCACUGGGCUUAAAGGGCGCGUAGGCGGGUUCUCAAGUCCGGGGUGAAAUCCCACAGCUCAACUGUGGAACUGCCUCGGAUACUGGGUGCCUCGAGGGUGGUAGGGGUAUGCGGAACUAUCGGUGGAGCGGUGAAAUGCGUUGAUAUCGAUAGGAACUCCGGUGGCGAAAGCGGCAUACUGGACCACAUCUGACGCUGAGGCGCGAAAGCCAGGGGAGCGAACGGG
rnacentral:rRNA from 1 species